AGCGAACGCUGGCGGCAGGCCUAACACAUGCAAGUCGAGCGCCGUAGCAAUACGGAGCGGCAGACGGGAGAGUAAUACGUGGGAACGUACCCUUUGGUUCGGAACAACCCAGGGAAACUUGGGCUAAUACCGGAUAAGCCCUUACGGGGAAAGAUUCAUCGCCGAAGGAUCGGCCCGCGUCUGAUUAGCUAGUUGGUGGGGUAAUGGCCCACCAAGGCGACGAUCAGUAGCUGGUCUGAGAGGAUGAUCAGCCUCACUGGGACUGAGACACGGCCCAGACUCCUACGGGAGGCAGCAGUGGGGAAUAUUGGACAAUGGGCGCAAGCCUGAUCCAGCCAUGCCGCGUGGGUGAUGAAGGCCUUAGGGUUGUAAAGCCCUUUCGGCGGGGAAGAUAAUGACGGUACCCGCAGAAGAAGCCCCGGCUAACUUCGUGCCAGCCGCCGCGGUAAUAC
rnacentral:rRNA from 1 species